AUUGAACGCCAGCGGGAUGCCUUACACACGCAAGUCGAACGGAGUGGCGAACGGGGGAGUAAUGUAUCGGAACGUGCACAGUAGCGGGGGAAAACUACGCGAAAGCGUAGCUAAUACCGCCUACUAUUGGCGCGGCCGAUAUCGGAUUAGCUAGGUGGUGGGGUAACGGCUCACCAAGGCGACGACCCGUAGCUGGUUGGAGAGGACGACCAGCCACACUGGGACUGAGACACGGCCCAGACUCCUACGGGAGGCAGCAGUGGGGAAUUUUGGACAAUGGGGGAAACCCUGAUCCAGCCAUCCCUCGUGUGCGAUGAAGGCCUUCGGGUUGUAAAGCACUUUUGGCAGGAAAGCUUUAGCUACAGAAUAAGCACCGGCUAACUACGUGCCAGCAGCCGCGGUAAUAC
rnacentral:rRNA from 1 species